CAAGCCCCGAGGGCAGCAGCUGUGGGCAGGCUGGAGGAAAUGGUCCCUGUUUAGGUGCUGCACUGGUCUCUGCAUGAUCAAUCCCAGCGCCCAGAACACCGAUAUCAAGGCCUUUGCCUGGCUCUUCUCCAGAUGGUUUUCUAUUGCAGGAGUUUUGCUGGCAGAGAGCUUAUGAAGAAACAGGCUUACAGAAGGCACGGCCAGGCUGCAGGGAUGACUGGGACCUGAAAACAGCCAGCAUCAUCAUUCUUGAAAGUUUAGAAACGAGGCAUGUAUACGUAUUUAACAGUUCUCAGAAUGUCAAGGAUCCCUCCUCAGAGCAAGAGCUCGAAUUUACAAAAGAAGCACUACCUCCUUUAUCACAUAGUAAAAUAAAGGACCGUGUCUGCUCCAGGACAUGGCUGGUUACAAUUUUGUUUUAAAGAAAUCACCAGAGAAACCUGAGAUUCCAACCCAGCCUUUUGUUUGCCUGGGAUUAUAGCCCAGUUCUUACAAGCAGAGAAGCCUAGGACACUAACCCAGCUUCAAGAGUAUACUCAGAAUCUCAAGAAUCACAAUCUGUGCUGCCCAUUCUUCAACAGACUGUCAUCUGGAGGCCUGGAUUGGAUCAGGAGUCGGGCUCACCAAUGGAGCCCCAAUCAGUCAGUCAGGAGUGAAGAUGAAAGCUUCAAAGGCAUUGAUGACUCACUUCUCACUUGAGUCCAGACCCAUCUGGAUUGCCUGCAAAAAGGUCUCGGCAGUGACCUGAAAACAUAUGUAAAUUACCCAACCAAUUCUAACCAGGACCUGCUGUCUGGCAAUUCAUCCCCAUGUUCUAGACUUGUCCAACAAGCACCCAAGCAACUUUGAGUUCCAUCCUGCAACUCUCAGUCAGGCUCAAGAAAAGCCCCAAUUUUAUCUGGGCAUGGUGACACAUGACUGUAAUCCCAGCUACUCGGGAGGCUGAGGCAGUUGAAUCGCUUGAACCCAGGAAGCGAAGGCUGCAGUGAGCCGAGAUCAUGCCACUGCACUCCAGCCUGGGCAACACAGCGAGACUGUCUCAAAAUAAAAUUAAAAUUAAAUUUUUUAAAAAGGCC
rnacentral:lncRNA from 10 species